AGUGAACGCUGGCGGCAGGCCUAACACAUGCAAGUCGAACGGCAGCACAAGAGAGCUUGCUCUCUGGGUGGCGAGUGGCGGACGGGUGAGGAAUGUAUCGGAAUCUGCCCAUUUGUGGGGGAUAACCUCGGGAAACCGGGACUAAUACCGCAUACGACCUACGGGUGAAAGCAGGGGAUCUUCGGACCUUGCGCAGAUGGAUGAGCCGAUGCCGGAUUAGCUAGUUGGAGGGGUAAAGGCCCACCAAGGCGACGAGCCGUAGCUGGUCUGAGAGGAUGAUCAGCCACACUGGGACUGAGACACGGCCCAGACUCCUACGGGAGGCAGCAGUGGGGAAUAUUGGACAAUGGGCGCAAGCCUGAUCCAGCCAUGCCGCGUGUGUGAAGAAGGCCUUCGGGUUGUAAAGCACUUUUGUUGGGAAAGAAAAGCAGCCGGUUAAUACCCGGUUGUCAUGACGGUACCCAAAGAAUAAGCACCGGCUAACUUCGUG
rnacentral:rRNA from 1 species